rnacentral:lncRNA from 1 species
AAUUGUUGAUGCAAAAGGUCAUUCAUUUUCAUAUAUCUUAACCAGCAAGAUAAAUACAUCGACAUAAUUAUUGGAAAAUUGGAAUAUAGAUUAUACACAAAACACAAAAAAUGACAUAAACUAUGAUCUCUCUAAAGACGAUCACAUGAAGAUCUUAAGUUUUUGCAUGGCACUACGGGCUUUCUCAACCAACAAAAACGGACCGACACAAUAUAACAACAUGUGCUGGAAAUAUCUAUAAACACCAUCAAGCUAUCAAUCAAUCGAAGACGAAAAAUCUCAACCAAACAAAUCAAAAGACAAACAAAUAGUGUGAAAUACAUAACGAAUUGUGUUGAAAAAUACUUGGUAAACUUGGAUGCAUUCCUCUAAAUCACGUGCGGAAUAAUCUCUGAGAAAUCAAUUACCAUGACUGUGUAUGUACAUUUACCUAGAGGUUUUAUUUAUCAGGAAAAAAACACUGAUUUUGACAAUAAAGACAGAA